UGUACAUAACAACAAAGGAAGAGAUGGCAGAGCAAAAGAAAAUUUUGGCCAAAUAUCCGAUGCACUUUUCAAAGUUUUGAGUGAUUGCAUGAAUUAUAUAUUCUUUUUCUGCAUU
rnacentral:ribozyme from 15 species